rnacentral:rRNA from 1 species
GGUGAGUAACACGUGGGUAACCUACCUAUAAGACUCGGGAUAACUUCGGGAAACCGGAGCUAAUACCGGAUAAUAUUUCGAACCGCAUGGUUCGAUAGUGAAAGAUGGCUUUGCUAUCACUUAUAGAUGGACCUGCGCCGUAUUAGCUAGUUGGUAAGGUAACGGCUUACCAAGGCAACGAUACGUAGCCGACCUGAGAGGGUGAUCGGCCACACUGGAACUGAGACACGGUCCAGACUCCUACGGGAGGCAGCAGUAGGGAAUCUUCCGCAAUGGGCGAAAGCCUGACGGAGCAACGCCGCGUGAGUGAUGAAGGUCUUCGGAUCGUAAAACUCUGUUAUUAGGGAAGAACAAACGUGUAAGUAACUGUGCACGUCUUGACGGUACCUAAUCAGAAAGCCACGGCUAACUACGUGCCAGCAGCCGCGGUAAUACGUAGGUGGCAAGCGUUAUCCGGAAUUAUUGGGCGUAAAGCGCGCGUAGG